rnacentral:rRNA from 1 species
CCUACGGGGGGCUGCAGUCGAGAAUCUUCGGCAAUGGGCGCAAGCCUGACCGAGCGACGCCGCGUGCGGGAUGAAGGCCUUCGGGUUGUAAACCGCUGUCAGUGGGGAGGAAGGCGCUGUGCAGAGCAGCGUUUGACCUAUCCGCAGAGGAAGUCCGGGCUAAGUUCGUGCCAGCAGCCGCGGUAAUACGAACCGGACGAACGUUAUUCGGAAUCAUUGGGCUUAAAGGGUGCGUAGGCGGCCGCGUAAGUCGGGUGUGAAAUCCCUCGGCUCAACCGAGGAAUUGCGCCCGAUACUGCGUGGCUAGAGGGAGACAGAGGCGAGCGGAACUGAUGGUGGAGCGGUGAAAUGCGUUGAUAUCAUCAGGAACACCGGUGGCGAAGGCGGCUCGCUGGGUCUCUUCUGACGCUCAGGCACGAAAGCUAGGGUAGCGAACAGGA